CGGCAACGUGAUCCUUUCGCGCGGGCUCCGAUUGGGUGACCGGAAGCAGGGAGGGGAAGAUGGCGGAGUGAAGGGGAAGAAGUGGAGCGAGAGCCUCUGCGGGCUGCGGCCCGGGGGCCCCAGCUGGGGUCUGUGCCCCUACCGGUCCAAGUAAUUGGCAGUCAACAUUUGCAUUAACUGAAAGCUAUCGGCAAAAGUUCUUGGUGAUAAAAUGCUCAGUGCAGCAUGAAAUGAAAGAGAAAUUGCAAUGGAAUUGGAAGCAAGCAAAUGUCCCUAUCAUCCAAAAGGGAAGAAAAUCCAGGAAUGAUCCAAAUCCUAAAGGUCUUUUCCUUUUGACCCAGGAGAUGCUGUUUCUUAAAGAGUUGUUAUUCAUGAAUGCCCAUCUUGAGAAGAAAACUGUUCCUUUAUUUCUCUAAAUGGAAAUGAAGAAAUGCUGCUUUGAGCCUUUUACAGCUCAUCAUAAAAAAUCAUCACAUGAAGCAGAAUUAUACAGGUGGAAAGUACAACCCUUGCUAAGCAACUAAAAUGAAUAUAUGGACUUCCAUGUGAACCGACCUUUGCUUAUGUUUUUUGCCCUCUAAAAGUGAUUGUGCAUUACAAUAUGAGCAAUUGUCAAUUCUUGUUGACACUUUGAUUCAUUCAAUGUACUUUAGUAAAAUAAUUCACCACAAAAUCUUUGGAGAACCUAAA